UUUAAUUUUGCCCCUUAAGGUAUUGAUCAAUAUCAGUUAUAUAUCUGAAUCUGCUUCACAAGGCAUGUGUAUUUGUGUCGCUAGCCAUCUUGUGUGUUGAGUACUAUGUGGAAGUCUCGUGUAGAGAUACAUUAAGCUUUGGAUAAUUGAUUGAUUUAUUGAUCUCGUGAUGGUAUUUUAUACAAAUUAAGUUGGAGAAGUAGUCUCUUCCCAAUGUGAUUAUUAUGGUUUAUUGUCAAUUAGGUGCAAUUUGUUGAGCAAUUAUUCUCGUUAUGGUUCUUGAUGGUGAUAGUUAUGAUCAUAGGUUUAGCACAGAAUUAUUUUUGGAACUGUAUACGUUUUGGACCUCUUGCAACUCAGAGCACUUGGGUGAAGAGUAUCAACGGGGGAACUGUUUUUUCCCUCUGAGAAAAUCCUACAUACUUUUUAUGGAACUCUUAAGUUUUAGAGCUCUGUUUGGUACAAGAAAAUAUCGCAUCAUGGAAUUGAUCACUACUAAAUUACUCAUCAUCUGUAUGAUCUUUAUGUACACUGAACUAUUUGAGAAUUUUAACCUUCAUUUUUACUGGAUGAUUGGUUUUCAUUUUAGUUGGAGGAGGCUGCAUGGCAAAAGUUGAGUUUAUGCAUUGGGUUUGUUUUGCAAACAAUUGGUAAUGUGUUAGUAUAUGGUUGCUGCUCGUUAACUGGUAUGACCAUUAGAAUGACUUGUGGGUGCAUGUCUUCCCAUUCAAAUGCCUCUGCGGAACUUGCUUUGAAAUCUAUCAUGUGAUUUUAUGGCUGUUUCAUGAAUUGAUGUCAAUAUUUUUUUAUCAGGUAUUGGAAACCCAAAAAAGAAAAAACUUCAAUCCUUCCCGUAACCAGUCAUCCAUAAUAUCUUCCUUACAUGGAUUGAUGUCAUUUAGAGAGCCCAUUGGAGAUGCUCUAAUGUCCAAAAACUAGAUUACAAGAACAAGAGUAUGUUUAUAACAUCGUUUUUUGCAGAAUUUACUUACCGCUGCCUCAAAGUUGAUUUCCAGAUUUUACAGAUUUACUUGCCAAUUUGAAAUGAAGCAUACACUGCACCUGGCAACCUCUCUUUAUUCUUUUUAAGGGUUCCACUGAGACAGAAAUAGGGAGAGAAAAUGGUAAAAGUUUGUGAGGCGUGCGAAGGCCAAGAUGAAGAGGAUGAUGGAGCCGUUACUGAGCCUGACCUAGCUAGGGUUGGAAAACAUCGAAUCCUUGAUUUACCAGAGAGGUCACUGCUCCUAAUAUCAGGUUCAUAGGUGAAAAAGUGCUGACCAGUUGCUGGAUACCAGUAGCACGAGGUUUUAGAUCCGUCCUUUUGGACUUCACUCUUCAACUUCCAGCCAUCAGGAAUUGGGCCUGCCUUCUGAGAAUGAAGAUUUCCUUGAAUGUACAGUGCUCUAAAAAAUCUCUCCCUUCUAUUCGUCUCUUGUUUGAGGGUCCUUUGAACCCUAAAUUUCUCAUCUAUAAAGAUCACCUGAUAAAGACUCUGAGACAGUGUAUCAUGUAACCAAACCAGUCCUUUCUAUUCGUCUGAUUACCAAUUAGGUUUUAGGGUUCAAUAUGAAAUACAGAGAGAAAAUGGUGAAUUUUGUGAGGCGGCUGAAGGCCAAGAUGAAGAGGACAAUGAUGCUCAUAUUGAAGCGCUUCCUUUCCCUUUUCCAGAACAUCGAAUCAAUGAUUUACCAGAGGCUAGGCCACAGAAAUAAGCAAUCACCUUUGGGCUUUGGCAACUCCCUGCUAUUAAAAAGUUGAAUGAUACAUGUCCUUCAUAAUCAUCCAGAUUAGGUGGAACAUGCUACGAGUGGAAGGAUAUAUUUUGCACAAAUUCAAUUUCCCUUCAUCUAGGCAAACCAUACAUGCAGUAGCAUUUCUGAGGGGAAGCUGCCAGCAGCAGAAGGAAGCAAGUCUGCCGGCUCACUAGAAGGAUAUCGGAAGGAAACAUAAUAACAGAAGAACACUGCGGAUAUAGUUUUAAAUAUAUUCUCAGUUGUAUUUAUAGUUAUACUUAAGAGGAUUAGGUAUUGAUGAGCAAUAAUUCUGUUGGGCUAGUUAAAGGAUCACUUGGUUGUAUAUAAGUAUGUGACUGUAAAUAUGAUAACUAAUCAAUGAAAUGCCAUUUUCUUCUUCAA